rnacentral:rRNA from 1 species
UUAUAUUACAUGACCCCUCUUCUCCUUAUGACCAGUUCCCCACCUUUUAGGGUCAUCUGUUGGUGCUCCUCGUUCUUCUAUUGGAAGGGAAGGCAUCAUAUCCUACGGGAGGCAGCAGUGGGGAAUAUUGCACAAUGGGGGAAACCCUGAUGCAGCAACGCCGCGUGAGUGAUGACGGUCUUCGGAUUGUAAAGCUCUGUCUUUAGGGACGAUAAUGACGUACUAGAGAGCCCGUC